rnacentral:rRNA from 1 species
AGUGAACGCUGGCGGCAGGCCUAACACAUGCAAGUCGAGCGGCAGCGCGGGGCAACCUGGCGGCGAGCGGCGGACGGGUGAGGAAUGCAUCGGAAUCUACCUAGUUGUGGGGGAUAACGUAGGGAAACUUACGCUAAUACCGCAUACGACCUACGGGUGAAAGUGGGGGACCGCAAGGCCUCACGCGAUUAGAUGAGCCGAUGCCCGAUUAGCUAGUUGGCGGGGUAAAAGCCCACCAAGGCGACGAUCGGUAGCUGGUCUGAGAGGAUGAUCAGCCACACUGGAACUGAGACACGGUCCAGACUCCUACGGGAGGCAGCAGUGGGGAAUAUUGGACAAUGGGGGCAACCCUGAUCCAGCCAUGCCGCGUGUGUGAAGAAGGCCUUCGGGUUGUAAAGCACUUUUGUUCGGGAAGAAAAGCCGCCGGUGAAUAUCCGGUGGUGCUGACGGUACCGAAAGAAUAAGCACCGGCUAACUUCGUGCCAGCAGCCGCCGUAAAAC